CCUACGGGGGGCUGCAGUGGGGAAUAUUGCACAAUGGGCGCAAGCCUGAUGCAGCCAUGCCGCGUGUGUGAAGAAGGCCUUCGGGUUGUAAAGCACUUUCAGCGGGGAGGAAGGCGGUGAGGUUAAUAACCUCAUCGAUUGACGUUACCCGCAGAAGAAGCACCGGCUAACUCCGUGCCAGCAGCCGCGGUAAUACGGAGGGUGCAAGCGUUAAUCGGAAUUACUGGGCGUAACGCGCACGCAGGCGGUCUGUCAAGUCGGAUGUGAAAUCCCCGGGCUCAACCUGGGAACUGCAUUCGAAACUGGCAGGCUAGAGUCUUGUAGAGGGGGGUAGAAUUCCAGGUGUAGCGGUGAAAUGCGUAGAGAUCUGGAGGAAUACCGGUGGCGGAGGCGGCCCCCUGGACAAAGACUGACGCUCAGGUGCGAAAGCGUGGGGAGCAAACAGGAUUAGAUACCCUAGUAGUC
rnacentral:rRNA from 1 species